UUACAAUACUGUACUUAUUUACUCUUUUCUCUCAUCAACAGCAUCACAGGUAGACGCCACAGUGAGCCCAACAUGUACUUCAAAUACUGAAAACAGUGAAGCUGUAACACCAGAAAAAAAUGAAGCUGCAACACAAGCUGUUCUAUCAGUGCCACUGUUGAUCAUAUUGGUGGUUGCUCCCAGCAUAUUGGUGAUUGGACUCUUAGCCUGUGUUCUCUGGAGAUUCCAGAGAUCAAAUCCACAGCGGUAAGAUAGAAGUAUAUUACAGUUUGUUGAAAGAAGUAGAUGUGUAUCACUAAAGUAUUUUGUCUUCCUUUUCUCAUAGAUCAAAGCAUAA